UACAACAUAGGAAAUCUGCCUUAGGGUGGGGACGAACAGAGGGAAACUUCUGCUAAUACCCCAUAUGAGCUUGGUUGAAAUACCAAUCUUGAAAGUUCCGGCGCCCUAAGAUGAGCCUGUGCCUGAUUAGCUAGUUGGUGGUGUAAUGGACUACCAGGGCGACGAUCAGUAGCUGGUUUGAGAGGAUGAUCAGCCACAAUGGGACUGAGACACGGCCCAUACUCCUACGGAAGGCAGCAG
rnacentral:rRNA from 1 species